CCAAAACACAGACAAGAAAGGGGGUUCCUACAUCAAACCCUAACACUCACAAAUUCACCAAUUGAAGGUUCAAAUUAAGUCCGAAUUAAAAUCUGAAUAUAGAUUUGUGAUCACCUUGGCUAAGGGAUCGUAAGGCAACACGAGUGAGGCGUCGGGAAGUCAAGCCGGUGCGGACACUCGCUUAAAGGGGAAGCUUUGAGCUUCAAGUAUGUCAAGCAAGCGGAUGAUGAUCAAUUCAAGGCUCACGAACCGAACACAUUCGAGAAUUAGUUCCGCAACUUUUGUCUUAGUUAAUCAUUAGUGAAACCUUGUAAUAGAAGGAAUACUUAUGUAUCCUAUUAUUGUCUAUGGAA